rnacentral:snRNA from 1 species
AUGUGAGGGCGAUCUGGCUGCGACAUCUGUCACCUGUCAUUGAUCGCCAGGGUUGAUUCAGCUGAUCUGGCUGGCUAUGGUGAGCAUUGGAAUGCACUUUCGUGGCU